AAGUCGUAACAAGGUUUCCGUAGGUGAACCUGCGGAAGGAUCAUUACCGAAUUGUCAAACGGGUUGUUGCUGGUCUUCAAACGGGGACAUGUGCACGCUUCUGUUUACACAUCCACUCACACCUGUGCACCCUCCGUAGUUCUAUGGUCUGGGGGACCCUGUCUUCCUGCCGUGGUUCUACGUCUUUACACACACUCUGUAAUAAAGUCUUAUGGAAUGUAUGCCGCGUCUAACGCAAUACAAUACAA
rnacentral:misc_RNA from 1 species